rnacentral:rRNA from 1 species
AAAUCCUUUAUAAACGGAAAAAAAGAAAUUUUGGGAAACUUUUUGCCACUUACCCUUAAAAUAGGGCCCGGAUAAUUCCGGUCCAGCAACCGCGGUAAUAUGGAAAGAUCCCGGGCGUUUUCCGAAUUUAUUAGGGUUAAAAGGAGGGUAGGCCCGAAGAUUAAGUCAUGUGGGGAAAAGUAAACGCUUCAAGGUUUUGCCACUGCAAGCGCGAAACUUGGUUUCCUUAAGUACGCACAAAAGUGGGGGAAAUUCGUGGUGUAGGCGGGUGAAAAAUGCUUAAAUAUCACGAAGAAACUCCGAUUGGGAAAGGCAGCUCACUGGAAGCGCAACUGACGCUGAAGCUCGAAAGUGCGGGUAUCGAACAGGAUUAGAUACCCUGGUAGUCCGCACGGUAAACGAUGGAUGCCCGCUGUUGGUCUGAAUAGGUCAGCGGCCAAGCGAAAGCAUUAAGCAUCCCACCUGGGGAGUACGCCGGCAACGGUGAAACUCAAAGGAAUUGACGGGGGCCCGCACAAGCGGAGGAACAUGUGGUUUAAUUCGAUGAUACGCGAGGAACCUUACCCGGGCUUGAAUUGCAGAGGAAGGAUUUGGAGACAAUGACGCCCUUCGGGGUCUCUGUGAAGGUGCUGCAUGGUUGUCGUCAGCUCGUGCCGUGAGGUGUCGGCUUAAGUGCCAUAACGAGCGCAACCCCUCUCCUUAGUUGCCAUCAGGUCAAGCUGGGCACUCUGGGGACACUGCCACCGUAAGGUGUGAGGAAGGUGGGGAUGACGUCAAAUCAGCACGGCCCUUACGUCCGGGGCUACACACGUGUUACAAUGGCAGGUACAGAGAGAUGGUCCUUUGCAAAACGGAUCAAAUCCUUAAAGCCUGUCUCAGUUCGGACUGGGGUCUGCAACCCGACCCCACGAAGCUGGAUUCGCUAGUAAUCGCGCAUCAGCCAUGGCGCGGUGAAUACGUUCCCGGGCCUUGUACACACCGCCCGUCAAG